UAUUCGGAUAAAGUGGAGAAGUAGGAACAGAAAGGAAGCAAGGAAAAAAGGGGGAGAAAGAAAAGGAUGAUGAGGAAGAAGAUAAUAGUUGCACUACUGUUGGCUGUGUGUGUCAUCAUUUCACAAAUGGAGAGUGUUGAGCCCUCAGAUCCCGAUUGCUAUGACCAGUGCUCCACUGGCUGCGUUCAACCAGACACAAGGCUUAUGCAACGCUGUGACAGAAAGUGCCAGAUUAAAUGCGGUCCAGAUGCAGAUCCUGAUUCUGAAGUCAAUCUUGGUUAAACUCUCUCUCUCCCUCCCUCCCUCAAGGAAGGAAGGAAGCUAGCUUAAUUUGUGGGCGGCCGCGCGCACACAGAUCUUUUAAUAAACUCUUUUUCUUUUUUUUCUCCUUCUACUUUCUGAGCGAGCACAUGUUGCAGAUCUAAUAUGAAGUCUUUGAAUAAAAGAAGCCUGAUUAUGAGCAAA